rnacentral:rRNA from 1 species
AUUGAACGCUGGCGGCAGGCCUAACACAUGCAAGUCGAACGGUAACAGGAAACAGCUUGCUGUUUCGCUGACGAGUGGCGGACGGGUGAGUAAUGUCUGGGAAACUGCCUGAUGGAGGGGGAUAACUACUGGAAACGGUAGCUAAUACCGCAUAACGUCGCAAGACCAAAGAGGGGGACCUUCGGGCCUCUUGCCAUCGGAUGUGCCCAGAUGGGAUUAGCUAGUAGGUGGGGUAACGGCUCACCUAGGCGACGAUGCGUAGCUGAUCUGAGAGGGUGAGCGGCCACACUGGAACUGAGACACGGUCCAGACUCCUACGGGAGGCAGCAGUAGGGAAUAUUCCGCAAUGGGCGAAAGCCUGACGGAGCAACGCCGCGUGAGUGAUGAAGGUCUUCGGAUCGUAAAACUCUGUUAUUAGGGAAGAACAAAUGUGUAAGUAACUAUGCACGUCUUGACGGUACCUAAUCAGAAAGCCACGGCUAACUACGUG